rnacentral:rRNA from 1 species
CAAUAGCGUAUAUUAAAGUUGUUGCGGUAAAAAAGCUCGUAGUUGGAUUUCUGUUGAGAGCGACCGGUCCAUACCAUGUAUGCGUAUCUGGCUUGCUCUCGGCAUCCUCUCGAUAGACGUUACUGCGCUUGAUUGCGUGGUGCGGAUCUCGGGACUUUUACUUUGAGGAAAUUAGAGUGUUCACGGCAGGCUUUCGCCAGAAUACAUUAGCAUGGAAUAAUACUAUAGGAUCUUGGUUCUAUUUUGUUGGUUUCUAGAAUUGAGAUAAUGAUUAAUAGGGACAAUUGGGGGCGUUCGUAUCAACACGUCAGAGGUGGAAUUCUUGGAUUGUGUUGCGACGAACUACUGCGAAAGCAUUUGCCAAGGAUGUUUUCAUUGA